rnacentral:tRNA from 1 species
GGAACGGUGGCCGAGAGGCUUAAGGCAACGGUUUGCUAAACCGUCGUAGUAUGUAAGUACUACCGAGGGUUCGAAUCCCUCCCGUUCCGCCA